ACACACGCUACAAUGGGUGGUACAAUUGGUUGCGACAGAGCGAUCUGGAGCUAGUCUAUAAAGCCAUCCUCAGUUCGGAUUGCAGGCUGCAACUCGCCUGCAUGAAGCCGGAGUUGCUAGUAACCGCAGGUCAGCAUACUGCGGUGAAUACGUUCUCGGGCCUU
rnacentral:rRNA from 1 species